UACAGAGGUGGCAAGCGUUGUUCGGAAUUACUGGGCGUAAAGGGCUCGUAGGUGGCCAACUAAGUCAGACGUGAAAUCCCUCGGCUUAACCGGGGAACUGCGUCUGAUACUGGAUGGCUUGAGUUUGGGAGAGGGACGCGGAAUUCCUGGUGUAGCGGUGAAAUGCGCAGAUAUCAGGAGGAACACCAGCGGCGAAGGCGGUGCUCUGGGCCGGAACUGACGCUGAGGAGCGAAAGCGUGGGGAGCGAACAGG
rnacentral:rRNA from 1 species